rnacentral:miRNA from 1 species
AGAUCACGCGAAAUGAAGAGA